AAUAAGCAGAACCUGUAAAAGCAGAGAUUUCUUCUAUUUGAUUUGGUAAACACUUCGCAGUACACAUUCCCUGGCUCUCUGCUCUGAGGCCACCGUGGAGCUUGUUUUGAGGAGGCUGCAAUCUGACUCUAAUGUGCUGUGAAUGAGAGACCUGAGCUCGGAUUAAGACCGCCGCGGCUGGCCGGGCCCCACAGUCUGAUAUGCACAUGGUGAUCCAAGGGACUUUUGAUGGCACAUGUGAAACACAACCUUAAAAUAUCACACCCACUAAGACGGUGGAAUACCAACUAACGCCCUGUGAGUGUAUGAAAACAGUGGAAAAAAGCAUGCAGCCUGAGUACUAUCCACCGUCCUUCUCACUCGCCAUUUUACUAGGAUAAAUUGCUGGGACAAAAACAACUCAAGUGUCUUUGCGACCACACGCUCCGCCUCUCAGUCAAUCCAGACAAAUUCUCCGAGUUGUGUUGAAGCUUUUAAGCUGUAAUUGAGCACAGGAUGCCCAGGAAAAGCAAAGCCAGCUCUGCACAGACCUGCGUUUUUAUAGCUGCUAUAGUAUUCUGCUGGCUUUUUUUUUUCCUCCCCGGCCAGACAGACACCACAAAACUGGCCAAGCGUGAUAGGAAGUCGCCACCUACCCGGACUCAAAGUCAGCAGCUGAGGAUUCUCAACGACAAAGAAACAUAUUAUGUCUGUGUACAUCUAAGGUGACAGGAGCGGGGGCCGACAGCGUUUGUAAUGACAGACGGGGCGAGGCGGACCACACACGGGCCAUGCAGGCAAACUGACCAACUCCAUGGUCAACGGGAGCACAGCUGACAAACCAGUGGAGUGUAUCCAGGGAACCAAAGCGCCAGGAGAAGCAGGCCUGGACAUAAGGACAUUAACUGGACUUCAGUGGGGGAAUAAAUGAAAUUUUACAAUGGAAAAAAAAAAAGAAAAUGAAAAAGAUAAGUGCAGAAAAAAUGUUUAAACCUUUUGAAACAGGAACUCUAGGUACAAACGUGACAUUUUUCAGAAACGUUGCGUCUUUAUAUCCCUUUUAAUAUUGAUUAUAUUAAGAUACAAACUUUCACAAAAUUUGAAAUGAAAUGUCUACUUAGGACGCAGCCUCCAAAUAGCUCAAAUGAGAACAUAUCAUAAAGAAAUAACUGUGGAACCUGGUCAAUAGUAGGCCAUGCAUUACUUAAAAUGCGUUUUCACCCUUUUGAUUUUGUGAUUUAAAAAGAAAAUAGUCUAAAUCCUUUAGGUUUUCAGAAUUUCUAUCCUUUCCCACGCCGUUAUAAAACACAGUGUUGAGGCUACCAGCUAUGGACAUGACAUUGACGUGGCAGAUGGAAAAUAUUUCGCCCAAACCAAAUCUGCUUAAUCCAUAGUGUGUUUCAACAGGAAAUGUUGAAAUUUGACCUUCUGUGUAAAAGUCUUAGGAUCCAGAAUGUGAAAAUAACAAUUAAAAGCAAGGGCAAUAAGGUUAUUUAGGCUGAACGGCCAAUUCCACAAAAGCGUCG
rnacentral:lncRNA from 1 species